rnacentral:rRNA from 1 species
UUUUCCUACGGGAGGCAGCAGUGAGGAAUAUUGGUCAAUGGGCGGAAGCCUGAACCAGCCAAGUCGCGUGAGGGAAGAAGGCCCUGCGGGUCGCAGACCUCUUUGGACGGGGAGCAAGGCCGCCGACGUGUCGGCGGAAGGAGAGUACCCGUAGAAAAAGCAUCGGCUAACUCCGUGCCAGCAGCCGCGGUAAUACGGAGGAUGCGAGCGUUAUCCGGAUUUAUUGGGUUUAAAGGGUGCGUAGGCGGAACAUUAAGUCAGCGGUAAAAUCGAGGGGCUCAACCCCUUUAAGCCGUUGAAACUGG